rnacentral:tRNA from 1 species
GCGAGUGGCGGAAUUGGCAGACGCGCAGGCUUCAGGUGCCUGUGGGGGUAACCUCGUGAGGGUUCAAGUCCCUCCUCGCCCA